UGGGGAAUUUUGCACAAUGGGGGAAACCCUGAUGCAGCGACGCCGCGUGAUUUAGAAGGCCUUCGGGUUGUAAAAAUCUUUUUUACGGGAUGAAAAUGACAGUACCGUAAGAAUAAGGUCCGGCUAAAUACGUGCCAGCAGCCGCGGUAAUACGUAUGGACCGAGCGUUGUCCGGAAUCAUUGGGCGUAAAGGGUACGUAGGCGGCCUAGUAAGUUAGAAGUGAAAUAAUAUAGCUCAACUAUAUAAAGCUUUUAAAACUGCUAGGCUUGAGAGAUGGAAGGGAAAGUGGAAUUCCUAGUGUAGCGGUGAAAUGCGCAGAUAUUAGGAAGAAUACCGGUGGCGAAGGCGACUUUCUGGUUAUCAUCUGACGCUGAGGUACGAAAGCGUGGGUAGCAAACAGG
rnacentral:rRNA from 1 species